rnacentral:rRNA from 1 species
UACGUAGGGGGCAAGCGUUGUCCGGAAUCAUUGGGCGUAAAGCGCGUGUAGGCGGCUCGGUAAGUCCGCUCUGAAAGUCCAGGGCUCAACCCUGGGAUGCGGGUGGAUACUGCCGGGCUCGAGUCCGGAAGAGGCGAGUGGAAUUCCCGGUGUAGCGGUGAAAUGCGCAGAUAUCGGGAGGAACACCAAUGGCGAAGGCAGCUCGCUGGGACGGUACUGACGCUGAGACGCGAAAGCGUGGGGAGCAAACAGGAUUAGAAACCCUGAG